GGCGCACGGUGGAUGCCUUGGCACUAGAAGCCGAUGAAGGACGUUACUAACGACGAUAUGCUUUGGGGAGCUGUAAGUAAGCUUUGAUCCAGAGAUUUCCGAAUGGGGAAACCCAGCAUGAGUUAUGUCAUGUUAUCGAUAUGUGAAUACAUAGCAUAUCAGAAGGCACACCCGGAGAACUGAAACAUCUUAGUAACCGGAGGAAGAGAAAGAAAAUUCGAUUCCCUUAGUAGCGGCGAGCGAAACGGGAAGAGCCCAAACCAACAAGCUUGCUUGUUGGGGUUGUAGGACACUCUAUACGGAGUUACAAAGGACGACAUUAGACGAAUCAUCUGGAAAGAUGAAUCAAAGAAGGUAAUAAUCCUGUAGUCGAAAAUGUUGUCUCUCUUGAGUGGAUCCUGAGUACGACGGAGCACGUGAAAUUCCGUCGGAAUCUGGGAGGACCAUCUCCUAAGGCUAAAUACUCUCUAGUGACCGAUAGUGAACCAGUACCGUGAGGGAAAGGUGAAAAGCACCCCGGAAGGGGAGUGAAAUAGAACCUGAAACCGUGUGCUUACAAGUAGUCAGAGCCCGUUAAUGGGUGAUGGCGUGCCUUUUGUAGAAUGAACCGGCGAGUUACGAUUUGAUGCAAGGUUAAGCAGUAAAUGUGGAGCCGUAGCGAAAGCGAGUCUGAAUAGGGCGUUUAGUAUUUGGUCGUAGACCCGAAACCAGGUGAUCUACCCUUGGUCAGGUUGAAGUUCAGGUAACACUGAAUGGAGGACCGAACCGACUUACGUUGAAAAGUGAGCGGAUGAACUGAGGGUAGCGGAGAAAUUCCAAUCGAACCUGGAGAUAGCUGGUUCUCUCCGAAAUAGCUUUAGGGCUAGCCUCAAGUGAUGAUUAUUGGAGGUAGAGCACUGUUUGGACGAGGGGCCCCUCUCGGGUUACCGAAUUCAGACAAACUCCGAAUGCCAAUUAAUUUAACUUGGGAGUCAGAACAUGGGUGAUAAGGUCCGUGUUCGAAAGGGAAACAGCCCAGACCACCAGCUAAGGUCCCAAAAUAUAUGUUAAGUGGAAAAGGAUGUGGCGUUGCCCAGACAACUAGGAUGUUGGCUUAGAAGCAGCCAUCAUUUAAAGAGUGCGUAAUAGCUCACUAGUCGAGUGACACUGCGCCGAAAAUGUACCGGGGCUAAACAUAUUACCGAAGCUGUGGAUUGUCCUUUGGACAAUGGUAGGAGAGCGUUCUAAGGGCGUUGAAGCAUGAUCGUAAGGACAUGUGGAGCGCUUAGAAGUGAGAAUGCCGGUGUGAGUAGCGAAAGACGGGUGAGAAUCCCGUCCACCGAUUGACUAAGGUUUCCAGAGGAAGGCUCGUCCGCUCUGGGUUAGUCGGGUCCUAAGCUGAGGCCGACAGGCGUAGGCGAUGGAUAACAGGUUGAUAUUCCUGUACCACCUAUAAUCGUUUUAAUCGAUGGGGGGACGCAGUAGGAUAGGCGAAGCGUGCGAUUGGAUUGCACGUCUAAGCAGUAAGGCUGAGUAUUAGGCAAAUCCGGUACUCGUUAAGGCUGAGCUGUGAUGGGGAGAAGACAUUGUGUCUUCGAGUCGUUGAUUUCACACUGCCGAGAAAAGCCUCUAGAUAGAAAAUAGGUGCCCGUACCGCAAACCGACACAGGUAGUCAAGAUGAGAAUUCUAAGGUGAGCGAGCGAACUCUCGUUAAGGAACUCGGCAAAAUGACCCCGUAACUUCGGGAGAAGGGGUGCUCUUUAGGGUUAACGCCCAGAAGAGCCGCAGUGAAUAGGCCCAAGCGACUGUUUAUCAAAAACACAGGUCUCUGCUAAACCGUAAGGUGAUGUAUAGGGGCUGACGCCUGCCCGGUGCUGGAAGGUUAAGAGGAGUGGUUAGCUUCUGCGAAGCUACGAAUCGAAGCCCCAGUAAACGGCGGCCGUAACUAUAACGGUCCUAAGGUAGCGAAAUUCCUUGUCGGGUAAGUUCCGACCCGCACGAAAGGCGUAACGAUUUGGGCACUGUCUCAACGAGAGACUCGGUGAAAUCAUAGUACCUGUGAAGAUGCAGGUUACCCGCGACAGGACGGAAAGACCCCGUGGAGCUUUACUGUAGCCUGAUAUUGAAAUUCGGCACAGCUUGUACAGGAUAGGUAGGAGCCUUUGAAACGUGAGCGCUAGCUUACGUGGAGGCGCUGGUGGG
rnacentral:rRNA from 1 species